GAGGGUAUAGCUCAGUGGUAGAGUGCAUGCUUAGCAUGCGCGAGGUCCUAGGUUUGAUCCCCAGUACCUCUA
rfam:Camelus ferus unplaced genomic scaffold scaffold57, whole genome shotgun sequence.